rnacentral:lncRNA from 1 species
CCGGUGGUUAUGUAAAUGGAUUUUUAUGACUGUCCUGUCCACCAACAGGGAUUGCCUGGUAUGGAAGGAUCACCUGGCCCUAAAGGAGAUCAUGUAAGUCUCAAAGCUGUUUACAUCUAUGACCGUGUCUGUUUCUUGAUAUUAGCUCAGUUACGGUGUUCUUUCAUGUCUGCGAUGUUCAUAACACAUUUCUCUUGUUCUCGCUCUCUCUGUCUCUUUUCUCCCGCUCGCUGUAGGGUCCUUUGGGUCCCCCAGGUCCUCGUGGUGAAGCUGGCUUUGAGGGACCGGCGGGGCCAUUAGGAACACAAGGUCCAAUGGGUUUCCCUGGUUUACUGGGUAGAAGAGGACCUGAUGGAGACAAGGGAGAUGCUGGACCCAAAGGAGAAAAGGUAAGUUCAACAUGAAGAUUCGCAUGGAUGGAUUGACAAUAUUUGGCAAAGCA